rnacentral:rRNA from 1 species
AGUGGCGGACGGGUGAGUAACGCGUAAGAAUCUAACUUCAGGACGGGGACAACAGUGGGAAACGACUGCUAAUACCCGAUGUGCCGCGAGGUGAAACCUAAUUGGCCUGAAGAAGAGCUUGCGUCUGAUUAGCUAGUUGGUGGGGUAAGAGCCUACCAAGGCGACGAUCAGUAGCUGGUCUGAGAGGAUGAGCAGCCACACUGGGACUGAGACACGGCCCAGACUCCUACGGGAGGCAGCAGUGGGGAAUUUUCCGCAAUGGGCGAAAGCCUGACGGAGCAACGCCGCGUGAGGGAGGAAGGUCUUUGGAUUGUAAACCUCUUUUCUCAAGGAAGAAGUUCUGACGGUACUUGAGGAAUCAGCCUCGGCUAACUCCGUGCCAGCAGCCGCGGUAAUACGGGGGAGGCAAGCGUUAUCCGGAAUUAUUGGGCGUAAAGCGUCCGCAGGUGGUCAGCCAAGUCUGCCGUCAAAUCAGGUUACUUAACGACCUAAAGGCGGUGGAAACUGGCAGACUAGAGAGCAGUAGGGGUAGCAGGAAUUCCCAGUGUAGCGGUGAAAUGCGUAGAGAUUGGGAAGAACAUCGGUGGCGAAAGCGUGCUACUGGGCUGUAUCUGACACUCAGGGACGAAAGCUAGGGGAGCGAAAGGGAUUAGAUACCCCUGUAGUCCUAGCCGUAAACGAUGGAUACUAGGCGUGGCUU